rnacentral:rRNA from 1 species
GCUUACGGCCAUAUCAGCCUGGAGUACGCCUGAUCUCGGAAGCUAAGCAGGGUCGGGCCUGGUUAGUACUUGGAUGGGAGACCGCCUGGGAAUACCAGGUGCUGUAAGCA